rnacentral:rRNA from 1 species
GGGCCCGCACAAGCGGUGGAGCAUGUGGUUUAAUUCGAUGAUACGCGAGGAACCUUACCAGGGCUUAAAUGCAGAACGACAGAGGUGGAAACACCUCCUUCUUCGGACGGUCUGCAAGGUGCUGCAUGGUUGUCGUCAGCUCGUGCUGUGAAGUGUCGGGUUAAGUCCCAUAACGAGCGCAACCCCUAUUUCUAGUUGCCAGCGGUUCGGCCGGGGACUCUAGAGAAACUGCCAGCGUAAGCUGUGAGGAAGGUGGGGAUGACGUCAAAUCAUCACGGCCCUUACGUCCUGGGCUACACACGUGCUACAAUGGUAGGGACAGAGAGUUGCCAACCCGCGAGGGUGAGCUAAUCUUCAAACCCUAUCUCAGUUCGGAUCGGAGUCUGCAACUCGACUCCGUGAAGUUGGAAUCGCUAGUAAUCGCAUAU